AGAACGAACGCUGGCGGCAGGCUUAACACAUGCAAGUCGAACGCGUGUAGCAAUACACGAGUGGCGCACGGGUGAGUAACGCGUGGAUAUCUGCCUUUUGGUUCGGAAUAACCCCGGGAAACUGGGGCUAAUACCGGAUGGUUCCUUCGGGAUAAAGAUUUAUCGCCAAAAGAUGAGUCCGCGUACGAUUAGCUAGUUGGUGAGGUAAUGGCUCACCAAGGCGACGAUCGUUAGCUGGUCUGAGAGGACGAUCAGCCACACUGGGACUGAGACACGGCCCAGACUCCUACGGGAGGCAGCAGUGGGGAAUAUUGGACAAUGGGGGCAACCCUGAUCCAGCCAUGCCGCGUGAGUGAUGAAGGCCUUCGGGUUGUAAAGCUCUUUUGGCGGGGACGAUGAUGACGGUACCCGCAGAAUAAGCCCCGGCUAACUUCGCGCCAGCAGCCGC
rnacentral:rRNA from 1 species